CACAGGUCUGGUCCCAGCCUUACUAUUAAUUUACAGCAAAUUUACACAUGCAAGUAUCAGCACCCCAGUGAGAAUGCCCUCUAGCUCUUUACUAGAUCAAAAGGAGCAAGCAUCAAGCACACUAAUCACACUCAGUAGCUCAUAACGCUUUGCUCAACCACACCCCCACGGGACACAGCAGUGAUAAAAAUUAAGCAAUAAGCGAAAGCUCGACUAAGUUAUGCUGUUCUAUAGGGUCGGUAAAUUUCGUGCCAGCAACCGCGGUCAUACGAUUGACCCAAAUUAAUAGCCUGCGGCGUAAAGCGUGUUUAGAGUAAAACUACCAAUAAAGUUAAAUUUCUACUAUGCUGUAAAAAGCCCCAGUUAAAAUAAAAAUACCCCACGAAAGUGACUUUAGCAAACCCGAACACACGAUAGCCAGGACCCAAACUGGGAUUAGAUACCCCACUAUGCCUGGCCCUAAACCAAAACAGUUCAUAAACAAAACUGCUCGCCAGAGUACUACUAGCAACAGCUUAAAACUCAAGGGACUUGGCGGUGCUUUACAUCCUUCUAGAGGAGCCUGUUCUGUAAUCGAUAAACCCCGUUACACCUCACCACCCCUUGCUAAUACAGCCUAUAUACCGCCAUCUUCAGCAGACCCUAACAAGGAACCGAAGUGAGCACAAUAAUACGCACAAAAACGUUAGGUCAAGGUGUAGCCUAUGAGGUGGGAAGAAAUGGGCUACAUUUUCUAAGACUAGAACAUCCACAAAAACCUUAAUGAAACACCCUUAAGCAUAAGGCGGAUUUAGCAGUAAGCUGGGAAUAGAGAGCCUAGCUGAACCAGGCUAUAAAGCACGCACACACCGCCCGUCACCCUCUUCAAUUAUCAAACCUCAACGGUAACACCCUACCCACUCAACUACAAUAUGAGAAGAGACAAGUCGUAACAAGGUAAACAUACUGGAAAGUGUGUUUGGACAACCAA
rnacentral:ncRNA from 1 species